UACAGAGGUCUCAAGCGUUGUUCGGAUUCAUUGGGCGUAAAGGGUGUGUAGGUGGCGCCGUAAGUCGGGUGUGAAAUUUCGGAGCUUAACUCCGAAACUGCAUUCGAUACUGCGGUGCUUGAGGACUGGAGAGGAGACUGGAAUUCAUGGUGUAGCAGUGAAAUGCGUAGAGAUCAUGAGGAAGACCAGUGGCGAAGGCGGGUCUCUGGGCAGUUCCUGACGCUGAGGCACGAAGGCCAGGGGAGCAAACGGG
rnacentral:rRNA from 1 species